rnacentral:rRNA from 1 species
CCUACGGGUGGCAGCAGUGGGGAAUAUUGCACAAUGGGGGAAACCCUGAUGCAGCGACGCCGCGUGAGUGAAGAAGUAUUUCGGUAUGUAAAGCUCUAUCAGCAGGGAAGAAAUAGCGACCUUUGGGUCGCCAGACGGUACCUGAUUAAGAAGCCCCGGCUAACUACGUGCCAGCAGCCGCGGUAAUACGUAGGGGGCAAGCGGUGUCCGGAUUUACUGGGUGUAAAGGGGGCGUAGACGGCAUAGCAAGUCUGAAGUGAAAUGCCGGGGCUUAACCCAGGAACUGCUUUGGAAACUGUGCAGCUAGAGUGCAUGAGAGGUAAGUGGAAUUCCGAGUGGAGCGGUGAAAUGCGUAGAUAUUUGGAGGAACACCAGUGGCGAAGGCGGCUUUCUGGACUGUAAAUGACGUUGAGGCUCGAAAGCGUGGGGAGCAAACAGGAUUAGAUGCCCGUGUAGUC